UACGUAGGAUGCAAGCGUUGUCCGGAAUUACUGGGCGUAAAGGGCGAGCAGGUGGCACUACAAGUCUGAUGUAAAAUCUCCCGGCUUAACUGGGAGGGGCCAUUGGAAACUGUAGAGCUGGAGUGCAGGAGAGGCUAACGGAAUUCCCGGUGUAGUGGUGAAAUGCGUAGAUAUCGGGAGGAACACCUGUGGCGAAAGCGGCUCACUGGACCACAACUGACGCUGAGGCGCGAAAGCUAGGGGAGCAAACAGG
rnacentral:rRNA from 1 species